rnacentral:rRNA from 1 species
CAAUACAGAGUCUUACGAUUUUGUAAUUGGAAUGAAUUAAGUUUACAUCCCUUUCUAAGUAACAAUUGGAGGGCAAGUCUGGUGCCAGCAGCCGCGGUAAUUCCAGCUCCAAUAGCGUAUAUUAAAGUUGUUGCAGUUAAAAAGCUCGUAGUUGGAUUUCAGUUAAAUGUAUACUUUACCUUUUCGAAGGUUUAUUGUAUCAUUAACUCCCCCCCAUCCCCCAUACAUUUGUAUAGGGAUGGAUUUUA